rnacentral:ncRNA from 1 species
GUUAGUCAUCUUUAUUAGGUUUAAAGGGUACCUAGACGGUAAAUUAAACUCUAAAUGAGUACUUUUUUACUAGAGUUUUAUGAGAGAAGGAAGAAUUUCUGGAGUAGAGAUAAAAUGCUUUGAUACCAGAAGGACUGGUAACGGCGAAGGCAUCCUUCUAUGUAAAAACUGACGUUGAGGGACGAAGGCUUGGGUAGCAAUAAGGAUUAGAUACCCUA